GGAGAGGUAGGAUUUUCACUGCUGUGCAGGAAACUGCAAUCGUUGAUAUGGUCAUCAGAAACAAUGGCAUAAAACUCACAGAGAUUCGGGACAGAGUGUUGGCAGACAACAUUACAUUUGGAAAUAUUCACAACGUAAGCAUAACAACUAUUUCUAGAGUCCUGAAACAACAUCAAGUCAGGAUGAAGCAGUUGUACUCUGUCCCCUUUGAGAGGAACUCUGAAUGAGUCAAGCAACUCAGGAACCAAUAUGUCCAGAGAGUCAUGGAGAUUGAAGCCAGGCAAACACCCCACAUAUUCAUCUUUGUGGAUGAGGCUGGUUUCAACAUGGCCAAAACACAGCAGCGAGGAAGGAAUGUGACUGGGAAAAGAGCCACAGUGGAUGUCCCGGGCCAGAGGGGUGCCAACAUCACAAUGUGUGCAGCAAUAUCCUCUGAUUGAUUGCUUUUACACAAAUUGAGCCAUACAACACUGUUGUCAUUCAUUCUUGGAUGCCCGCCAUGGAAGGGUUGUGCCAGGUGAAGAAAGGGUUGCAGUGAAUCGGCCAAUGUUUGUAAUUGUGUGGGACAAUGUAACAUUUCACCACUCCCAUGCAGUCACAGAGUGGUUUGCACCCAUCCCAGGAUGGUGUCACUUUUCCUCCCACAUUACUCUCCAUUCUUCAACCCCAUAGAGGAAUUAUUUUCCUCAUGGAGGUGGAAGGUUUAUGACCACCAUCCACAUGAUCAAAUGUCCCUCCUGGACGUAAUGAAUGCUGGAUGCCUGGACAUAUCUGCAGAAGAUUGCACGGAAUGGACCAGGCUUGCCAAAAUAUUCUUUCCUAGGUGUAUUGCCCAAGAUGUGGAUGUGGAUGAGAACCUGUGGCCAAAUGCAGAAGACAGGGUUGACCAGCAUUGCUACUGUAUCUGUAUUGGUAGAUGGUGUAUAUACACAUUUUUGUAUUUGGAAUCACUCAAUGCAAAAAAAUGACAUAAACAUAUUGAAGCAUAUUGCAUGAUGUCUGAUUAAUUCCUGUAACAUAUACUGCAGUGAAUUCUAUACAGUAGAGAGGUGUCAUUCUUGUUUUGUAAAGUCAUUUUGCCAAAAAAAACAUUGUGAAAUCUUCCUGUUGUUAGUGUUUUUUAGGUAGUUGUUUUAUGAGUGACAAAGAGUACUUGUUGGGUGACAACCUUUGCUAGUGUUAUGGAAGAAUGGGACGAUUUGAGACAUGUAUGAAGUGUUUUGGUAGUUUUAGUGCAUUUUGGAUGUGAAAUGAACUGCUGUGCCAAGCUGAAAGUUGGUUAAGAGAACUGUGUGAAGUGUUUCGAAAAAGUGACCGAAGUAUUGGGAAAUGGGUCCUAGCGAUUGUAAAAAACUGUAAACAGCAUGGUUAUUAAACAGGUGCACCUUGUGCUGGGUACAAUAAAAGGCCA